CUGUGGCACCAUGAAAUGGGCAGCCGGUGGUGGUGGUCGGUGAAAGGGCCCAGGCUGGUAGAUGCCAGGCUGCUGCUGCUGUUGAUAUGGCAUUACCGGAACUCUUGGGAAGUUCCUAGGGGAGAAAUUAGCCCCUCUCUCAUGGUCACGGCGACCCCGGUAACCACCACGACCUCCAACGCCAUUGCUACUACUACUAUUUCGGGGAUUAUUAUUCCAGUGGUUGCUGCUACCACUGCUAUUUCUAUUGUUCCCAUCACCACCACCACCACCACCUCGUAUGUUGUGGUUCCAGUGGCCAUUGCCAGAAGGAUUUCUGCUGCUGUCAUUGUCAUUCCCACGGGCACAACGAGUGCCAGGGACAUUAUCAUCCAAAUUGAUGGGACCAUCGCCAUUGCUGCUGUUGCAACCGCUGUCAGUACCAAGGCUUCCAUCAUUCCAGUUACCAUCACCACCACUGCCGCUGCUCCCGUCACCUCCGCUACUAUUGGCAGCCCUGACGCCACCAUUGCUACCAUUUCCACGGUUGCCACUGCGCCGAACUGGAAAUGUCUGGGUUGUGGCACCGUUCUGCUGAGAGGAAGCCGCAGGCGUGCGAGGAGGUAUGGAGGACCGCCGAAACGCAAGAGAUGUACGCGCAUCGGAAAAAUCGCGAGAUUCAGUACCUGCGGAGGCGGGCCGGAAACAUCGGAGAGGGCAUUGAGGGAGUCGGACGAGCCCGACUUGGGGCACGCGCGCGUCGACUCCACGAGCGCCGGCCACGAGGCGUCCCCGCCGAUGAUGCCGCCGCCCUCUGGGGUCGCCUCCGCCGCGGCGGCGGGGGUCUGCGCCAGCACGCUCCACGUUGUCUUCCUUGCCGCCGCAUUGGUGGGAUCGGCCCCCUCGGGGUGGGCCGGUGGAUCCCUGCGGGACGCCUCGGGCGCCGAACGGCCGGACUCCGGCGGUACCGCGAUCGCCUGCGGAACGGCGGCCGCUGAUUGCGCUGGCGCUGGCGCGGGCGCGGGGCCACCAGCAGCCGGCGACAUCACGGGGCGAGACGACUGGGAAUCGAGCUGGGGGUUUGGGGCGGGGGAAUGGGAAGGCGAGGACGAGGAGGCAGGAGGAGAGACGAGAGAUGAGGGGACUGGGAAGGCGGGGGCCGGAGAGGAGGCUCGGUGUGGCGGCGGUGGGAGGUUAGGUGCGUAAUUAGCAGAAGUAGCGGG
rnacentral:misc_RNA from 1 species